rfam:Salmo salar isolate Sally breed double haploid chromosome ssa19, whole genome shotgun sequence.
GUCACUUAUUACUGUAAGUCGCUCUGGAUAAGAGCGUCAGCUAAAUGACUAAAA